CUCGUAGGCGGUUACGUAAGUCGGAUGUGAAAACUCGAGGCUCAACUUCGAGACGCCAUCCGAUACUGCGUUGACUUGAGUCCGGUAGAGGAGUGUGGAAUUCCUAGUGUAGCGGUGAAAUGCGCAGAUAUUAGGAGGAACACCUAUUGCGAAGGCAGCACUCUGGGCCGGUACUGACGCUGAGGAGCGAAAGCAUGGGUAGCAAACAGGAUUAGAUACCCUGGUAGUC
rnacentral:rRNA from 1 species